rnacentral:rRNA from 1 species
AUUGAACGCUAGCGGGAUGCCUUACACAUGCAAGUCGAACGGAGUGGCGAACGGGUGAGUAAUGUAUCGGAACGUGCCCAGUAGCGGGGGAUAACUACGCGAAAGCGUAGCUAAUACCGCCUACUAUUGGAGCGGCCGAUAUCGGAUUAGCUAGUUGGUGGGGUAACGGCUCCCCAAGGCGAAGAUCCGUAGCUGGUGUGAGAGGACGACCAGCCACACUGGGACCGAGACACUGCCCAGACUUCUGCGAGUGGCAGCAGUGGGGAAUUUUGGACAAUGGGCGAAACCCUGAUCCAGCCACCCCGCGUGUGCGAUGAAGGCCUUCGGGUUGUAAAGCACUUUUGGCAGGAAAGCGGUACCUGAAGAAUAAGCACCGGCUAACUACGUGCCAGCAGCCGCGGUAAUAC